rnacentral:misc_RNA from 1 species
GCAAACUUGGUCAUUUAGAGGAAGUAAAAGUCGUAACAAGGUUUCCGUAGGUGAACCUGCGGAAGGAUCAUUAACAAUUGUCCACUACAAUGGAUAAUUUAUCCAUAUCCACCUUGUGUGCAUCCAUUGAAAUGUUUGUUGGCAGGUUAAGCUUUUCUUUUGGGAGAGCUGUGAGUUUUACUCGGCCUGCCAAUUUUAUACGUUUAAACAUGUCUAAAUGUAUAUAUUGUCUGAAAAAUUAUAUAUUAUAACAAAUACAACUUUCAACAACGGAUCUCUUGGCUCUCGCAUCGAUGAAGAACGCAGC